CUGUCGAGAGCCGCGUAAACCUUGUGACAGCCCUUCAGCCUCUAAGGUAGAGAGUGGGACUGCAAACAGAGCUGGCCCCAGUGGUAGACCUCUUUUUGUCUUGGAUUCCCAGGAUGUUCCAUAAUGAAGCUUAAACCUAAUUACUGCUUCUCAGAGAUCUAGGAAAAACUUAGAAGCAAAAUAUUGUCCUGUGACAACAGAUAAUGGAAUCGUGUUUGAGGACAAGGUUUGUGAUCAUCCAAACGAAGAUGUGUUUGAAUCCUUUCCUACAUCAGCCAAAGUCCAGGGCUUUUCACAUCCUUCAUUUCGACCACCUGAGGCUCCUCUGAAACCUUCCUUUCGGUCAUUGGAAA